rnacentral:rRNA from 1 species
ACCAGGCCGCUGCGACUGUUUAUUAAAAACACAGCACUCUGCAAACACGAAAGUGGACGUAUAGGGUGUGACGCCUGCCCGGUGCCGGAAGGUUAAUUGAUGGGGUUAGCGCAAGCGAAGCUCUUGAUCGAAGCCCCGGUAAACGGCGGCCGUAACUAUAACGGUCCUAAGGUAGCGAAAUUCCUUGUCGGGUAAGUUCCGACCUGCACGAAUGGCGUAACGAUGGCGGCGCUGUCUCCACCCGAGACUCAGUGAAAUUGAAAUCGCUGUGAAGAUGCAGUGUAUCCGCGGCUAGACGGAAAGACCCCGUGAACCUUUACUGUAGCUUUGCACUGGACUUUGAGCCUGCUUGUGUAGGAUAGGUGGGAGGCUUUGAAGCGUGGACGCCAGUUCGCGUGGAGCCAUCCUUGAAAUACCACCCUGGCAUGCUUGAGGUUCUAACUCUGGUCCGUAAUCCGGAUCGAGGACAGUGUAUGGUGGGCAGUUUGACUGGGGCGGUCUCCUCCUAAAGAGUAACGGAGGAGUACGAAGGUGCGCUCAGACCGGUCGGAAAUCGGUCGCAGAGUAUAAAGGCAAAAGCGCGCUUGACUGCGAGACAGACACGUCGAGCAGGUACGAAAGUAGGUCUUAGUGAUCCGGUGGUUCUGUAUGGAAGGGCCAUCGCUCAACGGAUAAAAGGUACUCCGGGGAUAACAGGCUGAUACCGCCCAAGAGUUCAUAUCGACGGCGGUGUUUGGCACCUCGAUGUCGGCUCAUCACAUCCUGGGGCUGAAGCCGGUCCCAAGGGUAUGGCUGUUCGCCAUUUAAAGUGGUACGCGAGCUGGGUUUAGAACGUCGUGAGACAGUUCGGUCCCUAUCUGCCGUGGACGUUUGAGAUUUGAGAGGGGCUGCUCCUAGUACGAGAGGACCGGAGUGGACGAACCUCUGGUGUUCCGGUUGUCACGCCAGUGGCAUUGCCGGGUAGCUAUGUUCGGAAAAGAUAACCGCUGAAAGCAUCUAAGCGGGAAACUUGCCUCAAGAUGAGAUCUCACUGGGAACUUGAUUCCCCUGAAGGGCCGUCGAAGACUACGACGUUGAUAGGCUGGGUGUGUAAGCGUUGUGAGGCGUUGAGCUAACCAGUACUAAUUGCCCGUGAGGCUUGACCAU